AUUGAACGCUGGCGGCAGGCUUAACACAUGCAAGUCGAGCGAGCGGCGGACGGGUGAGUAAUGUCUGGGAAACUGCCUGAUGGAGGGGGAUAACUACUGGAAACGGUAGCUAAUACCGCAUACCAUCAGAUGUGCCCAGAUGGGAUUGGCUAGUAGGUGGGGUAAUGGCUCACCUAGGCGACGAUCCCUAGCUGGUCUGAGGGGAUGCCCAGCCACACGGGAACUGAGACACGGGCCAGACUCCUACGUGAGGCAGCAGUGGGGAAUAUUGCACAAUGGGCGCAAGCCGGAUGCAGCCAUGCCGCGUGGGUGAAGAAGGCCUUCGGGUUGUAAAGCACGUUCAGCGAGGAGGCGUUACCCGCAGAAGAAGCACCGGCUAACUCCGUGCCAGCCGCCGCGGUAAUAC
rnacentral:rRNA from 1 species